rnacentral:rRNA from 1 species
GAUGAACGCUGGCGGCGUGCCUAAUACAUGCAAGUCGAGCGAACGGACGAGAAGCUUGCUUCUCUGAUGUUAGCGGCGGACGGGUGAGUAACACGUGGAUAACCUACCUAUAAGACUGGGAUAACUUCGGGAAACCGUAGCUAAUACCGGAUAAUAUUUUUAACCGCAUGUUUCAAAAUUGAAAGACGUUCUUGCUUUCCCUUAUAGAUGUAUCCGCGCUGCAUUAGCUAGUUGGUAAGGUAACGGCUUACCAAGGCAACGAUGCAUAGCCGACCUGAGAGGGUGAUCGGCAACACUGGAACUGAGACACGGUCCAGACUCCUACGGGAGGCAGCAGUAGGGAAUCUUCCGCAAUGGGCGAAAGCCUGACGGAGAAACGCCGCGUGAGUGAUGAAGGUCUUCGGAUAGUAAAACUCUGUUAUUAGGGAAGAACAUAUGUGUAAGUAACUGUGCACAACUUGACGGUACCUAAUCAGAAAGCCACGGCUAACUACGUG